GACGAACGCUGGCGGCGUGCCUAAUACAUGCAAGUCGAGCGGACUAAUGGGAGCUUGCUCCCGUUAGUUAGCGGCGGACGGGUGAGUAACACGUGGGCAACCUACCUGUAAGACUGGGAUAACUUCGGGAAACCGGAGCUAAUACCGGCUGACAUAAAGGAACUCCUGUUCCUUUAUUGAAAGAUGGCUUCGGCUAUCACUUACAGAUGGGCCCGCGGCGCAUUAGCUAGUUGGUGAGGUAACGGCUCACCAAGGCGACGAUGCGUAGCCGACCUGAGAGGGUGAUCGGCCACACUGGGACUGAGACACGGCCCAGACUCCUACGGGAGGCAGCAGUAGGGAAUCUUCCGCAAUGGACGAAAGUCUGACGGAGCAACGCCGCGUGAGCGAUGAAGGCCUUCGGGUCGUAAAGCUCUGUUGUUAGGGAAGAAUAAGUGCUAGUUAAAUAAGCUGGCACCUUGACGGUACCUAACCAGAAAGCCACGGCUAACUACGUGCCAGCCGCCGCGGUAA
rnacentral:rRNA from 1 species